rnacentral:rRNA from 1 species
AGCCAGACUCCUACGGGAGGCAGCAGUGGGGAAUAUUGCACAAUGGGGGAAACCCUGAUGCAGCGACGCCGCGUGAGCGAUGAAGUAUUUCGGUAUGUAAAGCUCUAUCAGCAGGGAAGAAAAUGACGGUACCUGACUAAGAAGCCCCGGCUAACUACGUGCCAGCAGCCGCGGUAAUACGUAGGGGGCAAGCGUUAUCCGGAUUUACUGGGUGUAAAGGGAGCGUAGACGGCGGUGCAAGCCAGAUGUGAAAGCCCGGGGCUCAACUGUGGGAGUGCAUUGGAAACUGUAGAGCUAGAGUAUCGGAGAGGCAAGUGGAAUUCCUAGUGCAGCGGUGAAAUGCGUAGAUAUUAGGAGGAACACCAGUGGCGAAGGCGGCUUGCUGGACGAAAACUGACGUUGAGGCUCGAAAGCGUGGGGAGCAAACAGGAUUAGAUACCCGAGUAAA